AGAGUUUGAUCCUGGCUCAGGAUGAACGCUGGCGGCGUGCCUAAUACAUGCAAGUCGAGCGAACGGACGAGAAGCUUGCUUCUCUGAUGUUAGCGGCGGACGGGUGAGUAACACGUGGAUAACCUACCUAUAAGACUGGGAUAACUUCGGGAAACCGGAGCUAAUACCGGAUAAUAUUUUGAACCGCAUGGUUCAAAAGUGAAAGACGGUCUUGCUGUCACUUAUAGAUGGAUCCGCGCUGCAUUAGCUAGUUGGUAAGGUAACGGCUUACCAAGGCAACGAUGCAUAGCCGACCUGAGAGGGUGAUCGGCCACACUGGAACUGAGACACGGUCCAGACUCCUACGGGAGGCAGCAGUAGGGAAUCUUCCGCAAUGGGCGAAAGCCUGACGGAGCAACGCCGCGUGAGUGAUGAAGGUCUUCGGAUCGUAAAACUCUGUUAUUAGGGAAGAACAUAUGUGUAAGUAACUGUGCACAUCUUGACGGUACCUAAUCAGAAAGCCACGGCUAACUACGUGCCAGCAGCCGCGGUAAUACGUAGGUGGCAAGCGUUAUCCGGAAUUAUUGGGCGUAAAGCGCGCGUAGGCGGUUUUUUAAGUCUGAUGUGAAAGCCCACGGCUCAACCGUGGAGGGUCAUUGGAAACUGGAAAACUUGAGUGCAGAAGAGGAAAGUGGAAUUCCAUGUGUAGCGGUGAAAUGCGCAGAGAUAUGGAGGAACACCAGUGGCGAAGGCGACUUUCUGGUCUGUAACUGACGCUGAUGUGCGAAAGCGUGGGGAUCAAACAGGAUUAGAUACCCUGGUAGUCCACGCCGUAAACGAUGAGUGCUAAGUGUUAGGGGGUUUCCGCCCCUUAGUGCUGCAGCUAACGCAUUAAGCACUCCGCCUGGGGAGUACGACCGCAAGGUUGAAACUCAAAGGAAUUGACGGGGACCCGCACAAGCGGUGGAGCAUGUGGUUUAAUUCGAAGCAACGCGAAGAACCUUACCAAAUCUUGACAUCCUUUGACAACUCUAGAGAUAGAGCCUUCCCCUUCGGGGGACAAAGUGACAGGUGGUGCAUGGUUGUCGUCAGCUCGUGUCGUGAGAUGUUGGGUUAAGUCCCGCAACGAGCGCAACCCUUAAGCUUAGUUGCCAUCAUUAAGUUGGGCACUCUAAGUUGACUGCCGGUGACAAACCGGAGGAAGGUGAGGAUGACGUCAAAUCAUCAUGCCCCUUAUGAUUUGGGCUACACACGUGCUACAAUGGACAAUACAAAGGGCAGCGAAACCGCGAGGUCAAGCAAAUCCCAUAAAGUUGUUCUCAGUUCGGAUUGUAGUCUGCAACUCGACUACAUGAAGCUGGAAUCGCUAGUAAUCGUAGAUCAGCAUGCUACGGUGAAUACGUUCCCGGGUCUUGUACACACCGCCCGUCACACCACGAGAGUUUGUAACACCCGAAGCCGGUGGAGUAACCUUUUAGGAGCUAGCCGUCGAAGGUGGGACAAAUGAUUGGGGUGAAGUCGUAACAAGGUAGCCGUAUCGGAAGGUGCGGCUGGAUCACCU
rnacentral:rRNA from 2 species